rnacentral:ncRNA from 1 species
CAAAGGUUUGGUCCUGGCCUUACUGUUAAUUUUUAUUAGACCUACACAUGCAAGUCUCCGCAAUCCAGUGAGUAUGCCCUUUUAACUUAUUCUGAGUUUUAAGGAGCAGGUAUCAGGCACACUUUUUCGAAGUAGCCCAUGACACCUAGUUCAACCACUCCCCCACGGGUUACAGCAGUGACUAACAUUGAGCCAUAAACGAAAGUUUGACUAAAUCAUAGUAAAAAGGGUUGGUAAAUUUCGUGCCAGCCACCGCGGUCAUACGAUUAACCCGAGUUAACAGAAGAACGGCGUAAAGUGUGUUUAAGCAUUUAAGUGACAAAAUAAGGUUAAAACUCAACUGAGCUGUGAUACGCCAAGGUUGAUAUUAAAAUACGCAACUUACGUGACUUUACCUACUGCUGAAGACACUAAAGCUAAGGUACAAACUGGGAUUANAGACCCCACUAUGCUUANCCGUAAACCAAGGUAGUUGAAUAACAAAACUAUUCGCCAGAGAACUACAAGCUACUGCUUAAAACUCAAAGGACUUGGCGGUGCCCUAGACCCUCCUAGAGGAGCCUGUUCUAUAAUCGAUAAACCCCGAUACACCUCACCUUUUCUAGCUAUCAGUCUAUAUACCGCCAUCGUCAGCUCACCCCAACAGGGUGUCAAAGUGAGCAAGAUCAUCGAACCAUAAAAACGUUAGGUCAAGGUGUAGCAUAUGAAAAGGGAAGCAAUGGGCUACAUUUUCUAUAUUAGAAUACUACGGAUUGUCUAUUGAAACAAGGACAUGAAGGAGGAUUUAGUAGUAAAUUAAGAAUAGAGAGCUUAAUUGAAAUAGGCAAUGGGGUGCGUACACACCGCCCGUCACCCUCCUCGAUAAAGUAAGACCAUAUAUCUAAUAANAAUACGCAAAAAAGAGGAGAAAAGUCGUAACAUGGUAAGUGUACUGGAAGGUGCACUUGGAUAAUC